AGUAGGGAAUCUUCCGCAAUGGACGAAAGUCUGACGGAGCAACGCCGCGUGAGCGAAGAAGGUCUUCGGAUUGUAAAGCUCUGUUGUUAGGGAAGAACAAGUACCGUUCGAAGAGGGCGGUACCGUGACGGUACCUAACGAGAAAGCCACGGCUAACUACGUGCCAGCAGCCGCGAUAAUACGUAGGUGGCAAGCGUUGUCCGGAAUUAUUGGGCGUAAAGCGCGCGCAGGCGGUUCCUUAAGUCUGAUGUGAAAGCCCACGGCUCAACCGUGGAGGGUCAUUGGAAACUGGGGGACUUGAGUGCAGAAGAGGAGAGCGGAAUUCCACGUGUAGCGGUGAAAUGCGUAGAGAUGUGGAGGAACACCAGUGGCGAAGGCGGCUCUCUGGUCUGUAACUGACGCUGAGGCGCGAAAGCGUGGGGAGCAAA
rnacentral:rRNA from 1 species